UGUGACCUGAUUUUAAACCCUUGAGGAGACAGUCAUAACUAAACUUCAUCUAAGACCAUGUUAUUAUUACCUUUGUUUAACCAGGAGGUUCACGAGAGGGAAAAUGCAUAUAAAACAGCCCAAUCAGAAAGUGAGAAAACCAAGGUGCUAUAAUACCAAAAGAAGAAGAUUAAAAAUCAGCAUCCAAAUCACUUUCAAAAAUGACAGUAUUUCAAGGUGGACAUGGAGGAAGACUUACAGAGGACGUAAAAUUGGAUGAUUGUUUAAAUAAGCCAUGAGGAUAUUACUGAGAAGAUUUCACAUCCUACUUGGGUGAUCUGAGCUGUCCCACUUCACAAUGGCAGAAGACAUCCCCACUCCCGCUGGGCUUUCACACUUCUGAA